CCUUCUCUGCGUGCCUAAAAUUAAUCCAGAGGUAGAGAAGGGGGUUAAGGGAGGGAGCUGCAGCGUUGGAAUUGCAUCUCCAUGGUUUUGUGUAAUGUGCCUCACUCCCACUCCCUCCUGAUCCCAAUCCUGAGAUAAAUAACUUAAAGAAAAAUUCUCAAUUGAUUUUGAUGUCAGCCUUUUAUUGUUAGGAGAACUUUCAGCUGCAAGUAACAGAAAACCCAACUACCAAUGGCUUAAGUAAAAAGAGUUUAUUUUCUCACAUAACAAGAAAUAUGUCACAGCUUGUGUUGGUUCAGCAGCUCAAAGGUAUCAGAGCUGACAUUUCUGAAGUUCUCUUGACCUUAUCUUCAUUUUCACAGUACUCCAGGCAUCAAGCUCACGUUCAAGUCGUAAAGUUGCAUUCCCAAGUAUGUGUGUCCCCUUUUCUAGGGAAGCAAGAGUUUCCCAUAUGUCCCCCAGCAGACUUCUGCUUUAGUCUCUUUGGCCAGAAGGAUGUGACAUGACCAUCUGUAGCUGGAAGGGAGACUGGAUAAGUCAGUUUACGUCCUCCAGCUUCUAUGGAAGGGAAAAGGUCAUUUGCUCCAGGCAAGAAGACUCAUAGGUAAUGUUUCCUGUCCUUCAUGGAAAAUUAACUCAAAACAGAUCCACACUAAAUGGAAGAGCCACUCUGUGGAAAGAUGAUAUGUGACUAUUGGUCACAGAACCAUUGGUGGUUCAAUGGUUCUGAGGGUAGCACAAAGACAUGUUAUUCCUGAGUUCUGCUGAUGUCUAAAGAUGUUGCCAAUACGCUAAAUGGAAACCAGCCAGAUCAAAUCGUUAUGAACAAAAUAUCACAGAGAGAAAAUUAACUUUUAAAAAAUUUAAUACAAAUAAAUGGUAAUUCCCAA
rnacentral:lncRNA from 1 species